rnacentral:lncRNA from 1 species
UAUAAUGAACCAUCCUCCUAAAACAUACCACACACAAAAAGAAAAAUGAUCAAAGGAUGGACCUAAUCUUAUCCAUACUUGUAUGGGUUCAUCUAACACAAAGUUAUUGAUGAACCAAUUAGCCUUAGGAUAUUGAGACUUCAUUGGUCAAUGAAAGGGAUGGGAUAGAAUGGGAUUGAAGAUGAAGAGGGAGAGGAAAUGAGACAAAC